UUACCGAGUUAUUCAACUCCCAAACCCCCUGUGAACCUUACCACACACGUUGCCUCGGCGGGACCGCCCCGGCGCCCUCGCGGCCCGGACCAAGGCGCCCGCCGGAGGACCACCAGACUCUCCUGUCGCAGUGGCAUUUCUCUCCGAGUCAAACAAGCAAAAUGAAUCAAAACUUUCAACAACGGAUCUCUUGGUUCUGGCAUCGAUGAAGAACGCAGCGAAAUGCGAUAAGUAAUGUGAAUUGCAGAAUUCAGUGAAUCAUCGAAUCUUUGAACGCACAUUGCGCCCGCCAGUACUCUGGCGGGCAUGCCUGUCCGAGCGUCAUUUCAACCCUCGAGCCCGUCUCGGUGUUGGGGGCCCCACGGCCGCGAGGCCGCCCCCGAAAUGCAUUGGCGACCCCGCCGCGGCCUCCCCUGCGCAGUAGCUCCCAGAGAACCUCGCACCGGAAACGCGGAGGCGGUCACGCCGUAAAACAACUCUCCUCCUGGAAGUUGACCUCGGAUCAGGUAGGGAUACCCGCUGAACUUAAGCAUAUCAAUAAGCGGAGGAAAAGAAACCAACAGGGAUUGCCCCAGUAACGGCGAGUGAAGCGGCAACAGCUCAAAUUUGAAAUCUGGCCCCCCCCCGCGGGGCCCGAGUUGUAAUUUGCAGAGGAUGCUUUUGGC
rnacentral:rRNA from 1 species